ACAGGUGGACCACCGCCCCUUCACCCCAGGGGAGGACGAGAUCAUCGUGAGCGCCCACGCCAGGUUUGGCAAUAUUGGUCCGCUAUCGCCCGCCUCCUCAACGGCCGUACUGACAACGCCAUUAAGAGCCACUGGAGCUCCACGCUCAAGAUUAAGUGCCUCUCCUAGUCUUCCUCCAUCGCCGGCCGCAACGCCUCUGAUAAUGCACGUAUCAUUGGAUGGAUAACGUUGCUUAUGAUCUGUUCU